UGCUGGUGGUGGUCCUGGGUUUACAGUUUGAGAAUCUUUGUUCAGGGCAAGGAUCGGGGUGGAGAGGGUUGCAGCCUGCAGCCUGGCCAUCCUGCAGGCUGGGAAGCACAGCCCCUGGCAAAAACCAGACGCGAGCACUUCAGAGAAGGAAGGAUGAGACAGGAAUUGAAGCUGAACAGCGCUGAAGCUCAUGAUGUGAGGCAAAUCCUCUCCGACUGCAAUUCCUCCCUAACUACAUUCCCCUGGACGCUUUCCUUUACCUGGCACACCACUGAAAAAAAGAAGAGGAACCCAUGUUUCAAACCAACGGAUUGUUUAGCAGCCACAUCUGUACAAGCUCAAAAAAAAAAGAAAAGAAAAAGCCUGGGUGCUUUCUCCUUUGGCACCAGCGAGACAUCCAAACCAUGGAAACCUCUGCCCAUAUGGAAUGCUCACCCUGGUCCCACGGUGAAUCAUAAUAGAGACCCAAGCCAGUCACCUUUCCUGGCCCUCACAAACCAUUUCUGACCUGCUUGAGAGGUCUGCCCGGUUCUCCCAGAGACCUCAAUUAUUAAUUGGUGUGGAUGCCCAGAAGAACUGAAUUAACUGCAUGAGCAAACUUCUUAAUAUUGUUUAGAGUUGAAGACCAUGUAUAUACAAGAAGCGAGAGUAGAGACCUGCUACUAAGGCCAGUGGGAAAGCGAAAGCACUUGGUGAUCUCUUUACGCAUACCUGCUCCCCUUCCACUUUCCACCAUGACUGGAAGCACCAUGAGGCCCUCACCAGAUGGAGCUGCUCAAUCUUAAACUUUUCAGCCACCAGAAUUAUAAGCCAAAUAAACUUCUUUUCUUUAUAAAUUACCCAGCCUCAGGCAUUCUGUUAUGGCAACACAAGAUGGACAAAGACAAUGCUAGAACUACUAGAAAGUGAGUUUUCUCUUUUGCCCUGGACUGACCAGACACCACCACUUGGAGCCUGAAACUAAAGCUGAUGGAGUAGAAGGCAGAGCUGAUAGAGAGAAACAGAUUUGCGAUAAUAGCAUUUCUACCUUGUCUUUUCUACUGUAAGCAUAUUUUUACCUGUAAGUCCAGUCUUAUAGCAGUCUUACUUGUGGACUCUAACAUCACGUUAUAGAUUCAUGUUUUGGCUUAAACCAGGUUGAAUUGGGUUUGUCACUUACAAUUGGAGGAGUCUGGUUUAUUAUUGCAUCUACCCCAACCAAACUGGGAGGGACAGUGGAGGCACAAAAUGAACUGUGAACUUCCAAUCUGCAUACUUGUGUUUGACUCUCUUCUCCAUCAUUUUUUGGCUACAUGACCUGGGGCCAAUCUCUUAAUCACUCAGCAUGUCAGUUCCCAUUUCUAUAAAACAUGAAAGUAAAAUUCAUUUCCCUAAUGCUGAAGGUGGUAUAAGGACCAAAUGAUUACAGAAAAGCACUUUGAGAACAGCAAAGAACAGAUGUCAGGAUUCUCAUCUACAACCUAGACCAAUAAGAAUUGGAAGAUAUUCAUAAUGUCUCUCAAAGCAUUUCUUAAUUGAGAUGCUGGAGUAUUGCAGGUUACCUCAAGUGCUGAAUCUGGCCCUACGGGUUCCAGAAAAAUAGGAAAACAAUGAUGAUGCUUAUCUUAUUGAGAUAAACUAGCAUUUCCUGUUUCCAUUAUUCAAUUACAGGAAGCAUAACAUUUAUUUGCAAAUGCAAUUAGAAAGCUUAAAAUCUAAGCCUCAAAAUUGUGCUCUAUGAAAAUGAAUGUCAAUCUUUAUGUAGAGGAAGAAAGAACUAAGAAAAAAUUUUCCUACUCAUUGAUGAGUAAUUAUGUUCCAGAUCAUUUUGAGAAAUGACACCUGUGUGGUUUGAAACAACACAAAAAUAACACACAACCUGCACUGAAAUCAAAGUGUGGCAAGUCAACUUAAAUAUUUUUCAAAU
rnacentral:lncRNA from 1 species